GACGAACGCUGGCGGCGUGCUUAACACAUGCAAGUCGAACGGAAAGGCCCUGCUUUUGUGGGGUGCUCGAGUGGCGAACGGGUGAGUAACACGUGAGUAACCUGCCCUUGACUUUGGGAUAACUUCAGGAAACUGGGGCUAAUAUCGGAUAGGAGCUCCUGCUGCAUGGUGGGGGUUGGAAAGUUUCGGCGGUUGGGGAUGGACUCGCGGCUUAUCAGCUUGUUGGUGGGGUAGUGGCUUACCAAGGCUUUGACGGGUAGCCGGCCUGAGAGGGUGACCGGCGACAUUGGGACUGAGAUACGGACCAGAAUCCUACGGGAGGCAGCAGUGGGGAAUAUUGCACAAUGGGCGGAAGCCUGAUGCAGCAACGCCGCGUGCGGGAUGCCGGCCUUCGGGCUGUAAACCGCUUUCGCCUGUGACGAAGCGUGAGUGACGGUAAUGGGUAAAGAAGCACCGGCUAACUACGUG
rnacentral:rRNA from 1 species